CUAUUCUCAAUAUUGGGUUUGCAUUAUUCCACCACUGGUGUUUAGACGUACGCAUGUUAGGAAGUGAUAAUAAAAAGAAGUAAAUAAAAGGCUAAAUUAGAUGCUAUUCUUUUGCUGUAUAAUAAGAUAAGUGAUAAUACAAUAGAUUGAAUAAAGGACUCGCUGAGUUGUUGCAUUUGACAGAUUUCAUGUUGAUGUCAGCGAGCACUGGACGUUGCAACGACGAUUGGUUGCAAUAUUUUUUGAGGACAAGAAUUAACGAGGCAGACUAAUACAAGGUUGCCAUAGAUAUUGUGUUAAAUAGAUAUUAAAAAUAUAUAGUAUAAGUGUGCCAAAUAUUUCUGUGUACUGUAGUUUAAGUUUAUGUGAGUGUAGUUUCAUCAUGUCUACAAUUCCUGGGAGUAUGUUUGUGGCACCAGGGAGUUGCCACACCAGCCUACGCAAGUAUCAUCAGAUUCAAAAGAGACAGCAGUCCCAAGAGAUUGAUAUUCCCGAUUCCGGCAUUCCAGCAACUGGAAGCCCAAGGAAGGCAACGCCAGCAUCACCAAUUGGAUCUCCUACUCCGCCAAUGUCACCACUGAACAAGGUUUACAACUACUUCCGCCAGUUCAGUAAUCCAUCAAAUACUGGUGUACAGGAAUUCCAGGGAUCGUCAAGCCUCCCUGGGGAGUUCCAGAACUCAAGCCUACAGAGCGAGCUUCAGACAUCAAGCCUUCGAGGGGAGAUCCAUGCCUCAAGUUUAAAGGAUUCCUUCAACUUUCCUCAUCAAGAUAACAAUAAUUCAGAGCUGAAGUCCCCAUUGAACUCACCAAGAUCAGAUUCAGAGAAUACUAAGAACACAUGAAACUUUAAGUGAUGGUGUACAUGAAUUUGUUGCUACUAAUAAAGUUGCAAUGAAGUUCAUGUACAGUAUUCAUUGAAGGCCAAGUGCAUUGUUGGAAUAAUGCCUUGAUGAUACGUAUACAGUAAAUGAAGUUAAUUUACAGUGUCUGAAUCAUGUUCCAAUGAUGCUAAGUGAGUUGUGUUGUUGUAAUAGUCCAUCUGCAGUGUAGUGUAGUUGACAAUGCUAUACCGUAAACAAUUGUUUUGAAGCCAUGUACUGUGUGUGGAUCAUGUUUUAAAUAAUGAAGUUUAUAGACCGUUUUUGUUUUAAUGAUGCUCAGUGAUGAUAAUUUUAGAAAGUACAGUACAAAACUUUUGUUUCCAAUAUACUAAAAUUGAAGUUAUAUUAGUUUCUGAAUCAUGUUCUGAUGAUGCAAAUGAAUUUAGUUUACAGUGUGUCAAUGAUGUAGUUCCUCUAUAGAGUUGUUAUCACUAAUUAGAAUUCAUGUAGGCAUAGAGUGUUGGAUUUAUGUUUCACCAAUUUCAUCUACAGUGUUGGAAUCGUGUAUUAAUGAUGCUCAAUGAAAUUCAUUGAUAGUGUCUGAAUCAUGUUUCCAUUAUGCUAACAUAAUUGAAAUUCAUGUAGGCCUUACAUUGUCUGAAUCUAUCUCAAUGUUGCUAAAUUUUAAAGAGGUUGACUCUUGUAUGGGUUAUGCAUCUCACCUAGUAAAUUGUAACAAACUGAUAAUUACCAUUAGUUUCGAUAUAUCAGUAUCUGUGUUUGCUACAUGUUUCUAUAAUAACUAACAAACCCAACCAAGCUCUAGAGGGCGUACUAUAACGAUGGGACCGUACCAUCAAAAUCUUCCAUAAAGUAAAGCACUGUAAUGCUAUUUUCAGUGAUUACUUUUUUGUAUCCACCAAGUUAAAAAUUUCAGACACACACGAUUAUUUUUUCAGCUAUGAAGUAAUAUUUUGACAGUAAGUAGUAUUCAUAAAACGGUCAAGCAAAGCAUAUUAAUGCUAUUGUCAGUAACUAAUUGUUAUUACAAACCCACAAGCUCUGAUUAUUUACUGGGAAAUUGUGACAGUGCAUGUUGAAAGUAUUUGGAAAAUAGAAAAUGUAUACAGGUUGGUGUUUUACAUUAAAAACAAAAAUGGUAGUUUUGGAUAACUGCUUUUGGUACAAAAAUUGGGGAAAAAAAUGAAAGUAUUUGGAAAAUAGAAAAUGUAUACAGGUUUGGUGUUUUACAUUAAGAACAAAAAUGGUAGUUUUGGAUAACUGCUUUUGGUACAAAAAAUUGGGGAAAAAAAAUGUUUCAAAUGAAAACUUCCAUAAUGAAUAUGGUUCUUGUCUAACAUAGGGGCCUAUAUUUCCCACUAGUUUCCCCAAACAAUAAUGAAUUAAUUGUCAUUAAUUGUAUAACUGAAAUAUUCAUAGCAGUUUUAAGUGACAAUAAUGUUAUAUUGUAACUGAGUAUAGUCAGAAUGCAUGAUAUACCAUACUACAAACAUUGUAUCUAGGAUUGUUAUGAAACUGUGAUUCAGUAUUAAUCUCAAAAAAAUAAUUGUGAGAGUAUUAUAUGCCUAUCUGUUGGACAUAAUUUUUAAUUGGCAAGGAAACUUGCCUCCUUCUGAUGUUCGUUUGAAAGCUGUUAACCUAAAUACAGGUCUCCUUCUAAUUACAGAUCUCUUCUGGGACUGGGGUUUCCAUGUGUUUUAGCAGCUUUGGACAUUUGUUAAUUUUGGAACACAGAAAAGCAGUCUUUAAUAGAAGGAGUCUUUUUUUGGAUGGAGACCUCUAUAUACAUAUUCAAUUAUUGAAUGAUAUUGUUCCGAUAUUUAGCUCAACACAGUCGGUAUAAUUUCCAGGAUUUUCAAGUUUUUUUCCCUUUCUCGGAUGAAGUGUCGUGAUUGUUUUGAACAGUGGCGUAACGAUUUGGCGGGGGCCCUGUGGCUUUCUGAAACUGGGGGCCCUUUUUUGGUCCCAGUCGCCAAUUCCGUCGUAGGAUUUCAGAUGUGCUUGUUUUUCAGUCAUGUUUUCAUUGUUAUUCUAAAUGUUUUUAACGAUGAAUGAAUGAUAUAAUAUCAGUGGGGGAUCCAGGUAUUUGAAAUAAAGGGGCCAGGGAAGGACUUUCACAGUUAGAGAGUCUGUACCACCUCAGCCCCACAAUGGUUGGGGCUGAGGCAAUUAUUUAUGAUUAUGGCACCUCUAGAUGGCUGGAAAUGGCACUCACAGACAAAGCUGUGAAUAUAACUUUUUUUUAUCCCCAUUAAAAAAUAUUUUGACAAAUUUAGUGGGGCCCCGGGGCUUAAGCACCCUCCCCUGUUUAUUCCGCCACUGAAUAUAAUAUGAUAUAUGCCCUACAGUCGAUUUCAGAGACACAUUAUAUUGUUAUGUAUCAACAAAGUUCUUUUUGGUCUGGGUGCUAGAUUGAGGGACCUAGAGGUUGGGGGCCCUGUGGACCGCCACAUGAGAGUGCAUAGGUGUUAUGCCACUGAUUUGAAUUGCUGUAUUUUAUGAUAAAGAAUAAAGUAAUCUAAAAAUAUAAAAA
rnacentral:misc_RNA from 1 species